rnacentral:rRNA from 1 species
CUACAAUGGCGUAGACAAAGGGAGGCGAAGUGGUGACAUGGAGCGAACCCCAAAAAUAACGUCCCAGUUCGGAUUGUAGUCUGCAACCCGACUACAUGAAGCUGGAAUCGCUAGUAAUCGCGGAUCAGAAUGCCGCGGUGAAUACGUUCCCGGGUCUUGUACACACCGCCCGUCACACCAUGGGAGCCGGUAACGCCCGAAGUCGGUGACCCAACCGAGAGGAGGGAGCUGCCGAAGGCGGGACAGGUAACUGGGGUGAAGUCGUAACAAGGUAAC